GACCGCGUAGCUCAGUUGGCAGAGCAUUGGGCUAGUAUUCCAAAGGUCGUAGGUUUGAUUCCCACCGCGGUCA